UACGUAGGGGGCAAGCGUUGUUCGGAUUUAUUGGGCGUAAAGAGCGUGUAGGCGGUUAGGUAGGUCCGUUGUGAAAACUCGAGGCUCAACCUCGAGACGCCGAUGGAAACCAUCUAACUAGAGUCCGGAAGAGGAGAGUGGAAUUCCUGGUGUAGCGGUGAAAUGCGUAGAUAUCAGGAGGAACACCGGUGGUGUAGACGGCUCUCUGGACCGUAACUGACGCUGAGACACGAAAGCGUGGGUAGCAAACAGG
rnacentral:rRNA from 1 species